GCGUUCUGAGCUCCUAUUGGCUGCCGGGCGUGAGGAAAACCCAUAUAAGGCGUAGGCGGGAAGGUGAACAGGUGUAGUUUACCUCAGCGAAAAAAAAGGAGCGGAGCGUUGCGAGGCGAAGAUAGCAGCGGCAGCGGGACUACAGACAGCCGUCGGGAACGAGGAUCUGCUGCCGAAGAAAGAAGAAGCGACGUUGGGACCUGGCGUUGGGUGUAGCUUUGAAUUGCUGCCUUUUCAUUGGUUUAUCUGUUGCCAUUUUCUAUUUGUGUUGUUAGUUGCUGUUGGACAUGAUUUUUGUAAGAAUGGUUGUUUCUUCUGCGCUCUCAUAAGAUUAAAGCUUUUUUGUUUUUCUUG